GUGGCAUUCUCAUCCCUACAUGAAGACAACAAUCUCGUAAUUUCAAUCAUAAAUGUGGCCCUCCAAGCUUUGUUUUAGAUGGUCACCGACAGACCACACAAGUUCUUAAAUGUCCAUAAAACGACAUCUGAGACCUGACAUGUUUGAAUUCUUCUCCAUAAUGACCAACAUCCUUAGCUAAAAUCAUCUGUAAAGAUCCCAUACCGACGUAGCAGGUGGACAUGGUGUUUCUUUUUGUUUUGAAAAG
rnacentral:lncRNA from 1 species